UCUCGAUUGGUCUAGUGGUCAGGAUACCUGCUUGUCAUCGUCCGCAACAUCUAGUGUAGCGCGAUCUGUCCGCAGGUGGCCGGGGUUCGAUUCCCCGAUCGAGAG